AAUCCAAUAUAACCGGUAUUUUCAUAAGAAGGAGAAUUUAGACACAGAGACACACAUAGAGGGAAGACACUGUGAAGAGACAUGGAGAGAAGAUGGCCAUUGACAACCCAAGAAGAGAGGCCUGGAACAGAUCCUUCUUUCACAGUCUUCAGAAAGAAUUAACCCUGGCUACACCUUGAUUUUGGAUUCCUAGCUUCCAGAACUGUGAGACAAAUGUCAGUUCUAUGAGAGCAAGACUGUCAUGCGAAUGGCUACAUUGGAUUCUCAGUCUCGAGAACUUAAAAGGAAGAGUUGAAAAGAAAAGGCACCUUUUGAAGACCCCCAGCUAGGACCUGCAUGCUGUCCCUUGGGCUCAGCUAGCUUCCCUUCCUAAUGCAGAAGACUAACCUGAAGCGCUCAAGUGAGGACAAUAGACACACAUUUCCGCCGCAGAGGAAAUAUUUGUGAAUCUACCCCCAA
rnacentral:lncRNA from 1 species